rnacentral:rRNA from 1 species
GAUGAACGCUGGCGGCGUGCCUAAUACAUGCAAGUCGAGCGAACAGAUGAGGAGCUUGCUCCUCUGACGUUAGCGGCGGACGGGUGAGUAACACGUGGAUAACCUACCUAUAAGACUGGGAUAAAUUCGGGAAACCGGAGCUAAUACCGGAUAAUAUAUUGAACCGCAUGGUUCAAUAGUGAAAGACGGUUUUGCUGUCACUUAUAGAUGGAUCCGCGCCGCAUUAGCUAGUUGGUAAGGUAACGGCUUACCAAGGCAACGAUGCGUAGCCGACCUGAGAGGGUGAUCGGCCACACUGGAACUGAGACACGGUCCAGACUCCUACGGGAGGCAGCAGUAGGGAAUCUUACGCAAUGGGCGAAAGCCUGACGGAGCAACGCCGCGUGAGUGAUGAAGGUCUUCGGAUCGUAAAACUCUGUUAUUAGGGAAGAACAACUGUGUAAGUAACUAUGCACGUCUUGACGGUACCUAAUCAGAAAGCCACGGCUAACUACGUG